GAUGAAGAACGCAGUGAAUUGCGAUAAGUAAUGUGAAUUGCAGAAUCUCGUGAAUCAUCGAAUCUUUGAACGCACAUUGCGCCCGCCAGUAUUCUGGCGGGCAUGCCUGUCCGAGCGUCAUUUCAACCCUCAAGCCCCCGGGCUUGGUGUUGGAGAUCGGCGAGCCCCCCGGGGCGCGCCGUCUCCCAAAUAUAGUGGCGGUCCCGCUGUAGCUUCCUCUGCGUAGUAGCACACCUCGCACUGGGAAACAGCGUGGCCACGCCGUAAAACCCCCCACUUCUGAAAGGUUGACCUCGGAUCAGGUAGGAAUACCCGCUGAACUUAAGCAUAUCAAUAAGCGGAGGA
rnacentral:misc_RNA from 1 species